rnacentral:tRNA from 1 species
ACGGCAUGUGGCUGGCGCUGGCGCUCGGCGCCGUUCUCGCGGCGGCCGGCGCCGUGGCCUCGCCGUGGCUGGUGUCGCUGUUCGGAGCGAGCGAUGCCGUC